rnacentral:rRNA from 1 species
CCUACGGGGGGCAGCAGUGGGGAAUAUUGGACAAUGGGCGAAAGCCUGAUCCAGCCAUGCCGCGUGUGUGAAGAAGGCCUUCGGGUUGUAAAGCACUUUCAGUGGGGAAGAAAGCCUUGGGGCUAAUACCCUCGAGGAAGGACAUCACCCACAGAAGAAGCACCGGCUAACUCCGUGCCAGCAGCCGCGGUAAUACGGAGGGUGCGAGCGUUAAUCGGAAUUACUGGGCGUAAAGCGCGCGUAGGCGGUCUGAUAAGCCGGUUGUGAAAGCCCCGGGCUCAACCUGGGAACGGCAUCCGGAACUGUCAGGCUAGAGUGCAGGAGAGGAAGGUAGAAUUCCCGGUGUAGCGGUGAAAUGCGUAGAGAUCGGGAGGAAUACCAGUGGCGAAGGCGGCCUUCUGGACUGACACUGACGCUGAGGUGCGAAAGCGUGGGUAGCAAACAGGAUUAGAUACCCGGGUCGUC